rfam:Vitis vinifera, whole genome shotgun sequence of line PN40024, unoriented chromosome 15, chr15
CCUAAGCGUACACUCAUCACACCAUAGAAUAACUUCUUUGUGGUUUGAGCAAAGCAUUAUGAUGUCUUCACUGGUGGCUGGUAUAGUCCAAGGGAUAUGACUCUGCAUUGGGGGCACUAGAAAGGGUAAGAGCCUUGUCGUGCCUGGACCCUAUCGCACCACGAGGCGUUGUCAACGAGUCAGAUUGUUUGGGAAUGCAACCUCAAUCGGGCGGUAAAUUUCGUCCAAGGCAAAAUACGAGUGAGAAACCGAUAGCAAACAAGUACCACGAGGGAAAUAUGAAAAAGACUUUGAAAAAAGAGUCAAAGAGUGUUUGAAAUUGUCGGGAGGGAAGCGGAUAAGGGCCAGCGAUGUGCCCCAGUCGGAUGUGGAACAACAACGAGCUAGUCCAUCGAUCAACUCAGGGUGUGGACCGACGCGGUUCGGGGCAGCAACCCAAGCCCGGGCUAUAGUCAUGCCUGUGCAGACCUCGUCGCCUCGAUCAUGGAAUGUAGUGUGCACCAUCAUGGUGUGCCUCCUGGCACCUAGGUGCUCAGGGCGUCGCCUCGCAGGCCCCCCAUUCGGCCUGUCUUGAAACAUGGACCAAGGAGUUUGACAUGUGUAUGAGUCAACGAGCCAAUAAACCUAUAAGGCACAAGAAAGCUGACCGGUAGGAUCCCCCCUCGCGGAGUGCACCAUCAACCAACCUCGAUCUUAUGAGAAAGGUUCAAGUGAGAGCAUGCCUGUUGAGACCCGAAAAAUGGUGAACUAUGCCUGAGUAGGGUGAAGCCAGAGGAAACUCUGGUGGAGGCCCGCAACGAUAUUGACAUGCAAAUCUUUUGCCUGACUUGGGUAUAGGGGUGAAAGACUAAUCGAACCAUCUAGUAGUUGGUUCCCUUCAAAGUUUUCCUUAGGAUGGCCAGAGCCCACAAGCGAGUUCUAUUGGGUAAAGCCAAUGAUUAGAGGCAUUGAGGCUGUAACACCCUUGACCUAUUCUCAAACUUUAAAUAAGUAGGACGGAGUGACUGCUCCAUUGAGCCGCGCCACGAAAUCGAAAGCUCCAAGUGGGCCAUUUUUGGUAAGCAAAACUAGCGAUGUGGGAUGAGUCGAAAGCUGGGUUACGGUGCCCAAUUGCGCACUAACCUGAACCCACAAAAGGUGUUAGUCUAUUAAGACAGGAGGAUAGUGGUCAUGGAAGUCGAAAUCCGCUAAGGAGUCUAUAACAACUCACUUGCCGAAUAAAAUAGCCCUGAAAAUGGAUGGCACUGAAGCACAUGACCUAUACUCUGCCGUUGAGGCAAUGACCAAGCGUCAAUGAGUAGGAAGGCGCAACGGUCACACAAAACUCGGGGUGCGAGCCUGGGCAGAGCAGUCGUCAGUGCGGAUCUUAGUGGUAGUAGCAAAUAUUCAAAUGAGAACUUUAAAGGCCGAAGAGGGGAAAAGUUCCAUGUGAACGACACUUACACAUGGGUUAGUCAAUCCUAAGAGACGGGGAAAGCCCGUCUGACAACGCAUGAUGCACGAGCUUCGAAAGAGAAUCAGGUUAACAUUCCUAAAACGGGACAUGAUGGUUGACGACAACGUUAGGGAGUCUGGAGACGUCGUUGAGGGCCUCUAGAAGAGUUAUUUUUUCUAUUUAAUAACCCGCUUAACCUGGAAACAGCACAAUCAAAGGUAGGGUCCAGUGGUUGGAAGAGCAUCGCAUGUCGCGUGGUGUUCGAUGCUUCCUCAAUGGCCCCAAAAAUCCUGAGGAUCAAGUACAACCCACACCCGAUCGUACUAAUAACCGCAUCAAGUCUCUAAGGUGAACAACCCUCUAGUC